rnacentral:lncRNA from 1 species
UUGUCACUGGAAAGCGAAAUCUCGCAAAAGAGCUAGUAGAUGCUGAUCAUGCCAUGUAUAUCGAUAAUAUGCUUGGAAUCAGGUUUCAGCAAGAGCUAGGACCCAAUAGAGAGCCUAAACAAGACUUCACCAGCAGUGUGAAUGUUUUAUCCAUGAUAACUGAGCUCACAAGCAAAGCCGAAUGUUCUCAACCACUCUUUUCAAAGGAGUCCAUGUUUGAUCAAAAGUCAUCUCAAGAGUCUGUUGGGGAGCAAAAUGCACACCCUUUGAACAGGAGUGAAGAUCUUGGACCUGUGGAGCGGGCAACGCUUAGUACAUCAGUUAUCAAACAAUGUGAGCUGAUGUGAGACAUCCUAUGCUUCAACAGAGAAGCUGGCGAGUUACACUCGACAAUGCACUUAAAGAAAAGUCCAGCUUUGGAAUGGCUUGAAUUAAUUGUUUAUUUUCAUCGUUUUGUUUCAGCAGUGAUGUUCUAUAAGUGUGUUUUGUAGAAAUAGAGCAUUUUGUUUUAUGGAGUACAAUUUGUAUUGUUCAUUAUAGUCACAGUAAGAUCUUAAAAUCGUAAGAUUUUAACCAUGAAACUCUAUAUCAUAUUAUUUUUGAUGAAUCUAGUUUAAGAACUAAAGACUUGAUUUCCAGCUUUUUGGCAGGUCUUGUGUAUCUAUAAAUGGACAUGUGACUGAUGAAAUAUACAGUCGGUUUAUUGAUGGCUGUGUUGGCUAUGAUGGCUUUAAGUUCUGAACAGCAAAACUUUAUUUAGUAAUUAAAAGGAUUGGCAUUGACUUUCACUUUCACUUUUUUCACUUUUUCAUUUGACCUCUGUUUGAUUGUAAUCUUUUUGUGAGUGAAAAUGCUCUUUCUAGUUCUGUUGGAACAAACAAUAAAAAUAUAAUCUUCAGAUGAUGUGUAGUAGCUGUGGAAAAAGGUUAUUGUCAGAAGUGGGAUUCGAACCCACGCCUCCAGGGGAGACUGCGACCUGAACGCAGCGCCUUAGACCGCUCGGCCAUCCUGACUGUUAUUACAUGGUUAUUACACACCAUUAUAGCUAUUACAGUUUUACUAUCAUGCAUUUCUUGGUGAUUUUAAUUACAUCUACACAUCACUGGCUUCAUUAAUGUUAUAUUGUCCUAUGUGGAAUACAGCAUUCUUAGCUAAACAGGACAUACUCAAGCAUUUUUGGUAACGAUGACUCAUUGGCAAUUGUUGGAUGGCACAUAUCACAAGGUUUUAAAUGUUUCAGAUGAAAUAAAAUAGUCAUCCACCAGGGGGUGCAUGGCGGCUCAAACAUACACUGAGCAACACUUUAAUCUGGGGCCAGUUGCUUAAAUUUAGCCUCUCUAUGUUGUCUGACCAACUAGCAGUUAACCAAGUCUAAUCGGUCUUAUUUUUCAGAUUCAUUUUAGAAUAAUCUACAUUUCUAUGUAACUGAAUUGAAGUUAUUAAAGUUAUAACCAAUCUUAAAAAAUAAAUUAAAAUUACUUGUCAGACCUUGUAGUUGUAAGACGCCCCUGGAUGUUUGUCUUAUUGAAGAGAGACAUUUAUAUAAUCGUUGUAAUUUAUACGUUUUAAGGAUUGUUGCCACAGGGAUUACGAACCCCUGUGAUUGGUCCAUCCUAGUCAUCAGUGAGAGGAGAGCUGAGAUAAAUAAAUAAAUAAACCUGUAAAAAAUAUCUCGAAUAUUUGAUUCUGAAUGGUAAAUCGUCACAUUGAGAGAAAUACUUUUGUCUAAAUUUCCCAUGGUACAAAUUAACAAAAGUUAAAAAGAGCUAUCAUACACUUAGAAGACGUUAAUUUGUCGUUAAAUAGAUUAGAUCAUUA